UACAGAGGGGGCAAGCGUUGUUCGGAAUUACUGGGCGUAAAGGGCGCGUAGGUGGCCUUCUAAGUUGAACGUGAAAUCCCUGGGCUCAACCCAGGAACUGCGUCCAAGACUGGGAGGCUUGAAUCCGGGAGAGGGAUGCGGAAUUCCAGGUGUAGCGGUGAAAUGCGUAGAUAUCUGGAGGAACACCGGUGGCGAAGGCGGCAUCCUGGACCGGUAUUGGCACUGAGGCGCGAAAGCCAGGGGAGCAAACGGG
rnacentral:rRNA from 1 species